rnacentral:tRNA from 2 species
ACUAUUUUGGCAGAUUAGUGCAGUAAAUUUAGAAUUUAUUUAUGUAAUUUUAUUUACAGAUAGUA